rnacentral:rRNA from 1 species
UACAGAGGGUGCAAGCGUUGUUCGGAAUUAUUGGGCGUAAAGGGUGCGUAGGCGGGUCUUUAAGUCAGGGGUGAAAUCCUGGAGCUCAACUCCAGAACUGCCUUUGAUACUGAGGAUCUUGAGUUCGGGAGAGGUGAGUGGAACUGCGAGUGUAGAGGUGAAAUUCGUAGAUAUUCGCAAGAACACCAGUGGCGAAGGCGGCUCACUGGCCCGGUACUGACGCUGAGGUGCGAAAGCGUGGGGAGCAAACAGG